ACCGUCAACACCACCAAUAACACCGUCAACACCACCGAUAACACAGUCAACACCACCGAUAACACAGUCAACACCACCGAUAACACCGUCAACACCAACGCCACCGAUAACACAGUCAACACACACCGAUAACACAGUCAACACCAACACCACCGAUAACACCCGUCAACACCCUCAACACCACCAAUAUCACCCUCAACACCACCAAUAACACCCAACACACACCGAUAACACCGUCAACACCCUCAACACCACCAAUAGCACCCUCAACACCACCGAUAACACCCUCAGCACCAACACCACCGAUAACACAGUCAACACCACCGAUAACACAGUCAGCACCAACACCACCGAUUAACACAGUCAACACCAACACCACCGAUAACACCAUCAACACCACCGAUAACACAGUCAACACCAACACCACCGAUAACACCGUCAACACCACCGAUAACACCGUCAACACCACCAAUAACACCGUCAACACCACCGAUAACACCGUCAACACCACCAUAACACCGUCAACACCACCAAUAACACAGUCAACACCACCGAUAACACAGUCAACACCACCGAUAACACCACCAACACCACCGAUAACACCGCCAACACCACCGAUAACACCGUCAACACCACCGAUAACACCGCCAACACCACCAAUAACACAGUCAACACCACCGAUAACACUAUCAUCACCACCGAUAAACACCCAAACACCACCGAUAACACAGUCAAACACCACCGAUAAACACCGUCAACACCACCAAUAACACCGUCAACACCACCAAUAACACCGUCAACACCACCGAUAACACAGUCAACACCACCGAUAACACAGUCAACACCACCGAUAACACCGUCAACACCAACGCCACGAUAACACAGUCAACACCACCGAUAACACCGUCAACACCAACACCACCGAUAACACCGUCAACACCACCAAUAUCACCCUCAACACCACCGAUAAUACCCUCAGCACCAACACCACCGAUAACACCGCCAACACCACCAAUAACACAGUCAACACCACCGAUAACACCGUCAACACCACCGAUAACACCGUCAACACCAACACCACCGAUAACACCGUCAACACCACCAAUAUCACCCUCAACACCACCGAUAACAGUCAACACCACCGAUAACACAGUCAACACCACCGAUAACACCGUCAACACCACCGAUAACACCGUCAACACCACCGAUAACACCGUCAACACCACCGAUAACACAGUCAACACCACCGAUAACACAGUCAACACCACCGAUAACACCGUCAACACCACCGAUAACACAGUCAACACCACCGAUAACACAGUCAACACCACCGAUAACACCGUCAACACCACCGAUAACACAGUCAACACCACCGAUAACACAGUCAACACCACCGAUAACACCGUCAACACCACCAAUAACACCGUCAACACCACCGAUAAUACCCUCAGCACCAACACCACCGAUAACACCGCCAACACCCACCGAUAACACCGUCAACACCACCGAUAACACCGCCAACACCACCGAUAACACCGUCAACACCAACGCUAACACCGCCAACACCACCGAUAACACCGUCAACACCACCGAUAACACAGUCAACACCACCGAUAACACUGUCAACACCAACGCCACCGAUAACACAGUCAACACCACCGAUAACACCGUCAACACCACCGAUAACACCCAAACACCACCGAUAACACCCAAACACCACCAAUAACACCGUCAACACCACCAAUAACACCGUCAACACCACCAAUAACACCGUCAACACCAACGCCACCGAUAACACCGUCAACACCACCGAUAAUACCCUCAGCACCAACACCACCGAUAACACCGCCAACACCACCGAUAACACCGUCAACACCACCGAUAACACCCAAACACCACCGAUAACACCGUCAACACCACCGAUAACACCCAAACACCACCGAUAACACCGCCAACACCACCGAUAACACUGUCAACACCACCGCUAACACCGCCAACACCACCGAUAACACCGUCAACACCACCGAUAACACAGUCAACACCACCGAUAACACUGUCAACACCAACGCCACCGAUAACACAGUCAACACCACCGAUAACACCGUCAACACCACCGAUAACACCCAAACACCACCGAUAACACCCAAACACCACCGAUAACACCGUCAACACCACCGAUAACACCGUCAACACCACCAAUAACACAGUCAACACCAACGCCACCGAUAACACAGUCAACACCACCGAUAACACCGUCAACACCACCGAUAACACCGUCAACACCACCAAUAACACCGUCAACACCACCGAUAACACCGUCAACACCACCGAUAACACCCAAACACCACCGAUAACACAGUCAACACCACCGAUAACACAGUCAACACCACCGAUAACACCGUCAACACCAACAUAUUCCACGUGUAGAUUACAAAUAAACAACAACAUUUAAUCAGUAAAAUACAGCCUUAACACUUCCUUAAAUCCACAUGUACAGAGUUUAAUCACACACUUGUGAUCUUUGGUGUUCAGUUAAAAAGAUAAAAUCCCCGUCAGGAAGAAACACUGAUUCAGAGAAACACCAAUAAACCACUGUCUGAUUCACACCCUCUCUCUGCUGGGGGAGAGAUUCAGAGAGAUGUAUCCAAGACAUCUUUAAAAAAGAUUUUAAAAAUGCAAGAAACUCAUGACUGCACUUAACUAAAUCAGUGCAUGCAAAUGCAUCGAGCUGCCAUGUUUCCUACUGAGAGAAUGAAAAGGGAAAUAAAAGCAGGGAAUGUUCGGUUCUGAUCCGGUGCACUGGGGGGUAAAGGGGCUUUUAAUUACAGUGUAAAUGUCGGUGUGUAAGUGGAGCGUCAGGAUCACUCGGCACUCUAAUCUCACACUCCACAUGGAAAUACAGAACCGGUUCAGAAUUGAGUACAGUACAUGACACGGUCACUUCAUCUGCUCGAUAAGAAACGCCUCUAAAUUUACUCCAGCUGCACACAACAGGAGGUCCGACACCGCAGAAGGUCACGCAGGAGGAGUUUCAUUCGAGAAGUGAAGUUUCCUCUCCAUUUAACACGAUAAACAUCUCCGGACACAAUUUUCCUUUCACACAGAGCUCUCUCUCUCUCUCACACACACACACACACACACACACACACACACACACACACACACAGAGAGAGAACAAAAACUCAGUGGAGGAAUAGGUAAAUAAAUAAACAAUUUUAAAAAAGGCACAAUAUCAAAUAGACAGAAAUAUAACCUAAUAAUCAUAUUAAAAUUAAUUCUACAACUGAAAGUAACGCUAAUAAUCAUAAUAAUAAUAACAAAUAUCUGUAUAUAUAAAUACACAUAUUACUAA
ensembl:lncRNA